AACGAACGCUGGCGGCAGGCUUAACACAUGCAAGUCGAGCGCCCCGCAAGGGGAGCGGCAGACGGGUGAGUAACGCGUGGGAAUCUACCCAUCUCUACGGAAUAACGCAUGGAAACGCGUGCUAAUACCGUAUACGUCCUUCGGGAGAAAGAUUUAUCGGAGAUGGAUGAGCCCGCGUUGGAUUAGCUAGUUGGUGGGGUAAAGGCCUACCAAGGCAACGAUCCAUAGCUGGUCUGAGAGGAUGAUCAGCCACACUGGGACUGAGACACGGCCCAGACUCCUACGGGAGGCAGCAGUGGGGAAUAUUGGACAAUGGGCGCAAGCCUGAUCCAGCCAUGCCGCGUGAGUGAUGAAGGCCCUAGGGUUGUAAAGCUCUUUCACCGGUGAAGAUAAUGACGGUAACCGGAGAAGAAGCCCCGGCUAACUUCGUGCCAGCAGCCGCAGUAAAAC
rnacentral:rRNA from 1 species